rnacentral:rRNA from 1 species
GAUGAACGCUGGCGGCGUGCCUAAUACAUGCAAGUCGAGCGAACGGACUAGAAUCUUUCUUCUCUUAUGUUAGCGGCGGACGGGUGAGUAACGCGUGGAUAACCUACCUAUAUGACUUGGAUAACUGCGGGAAACGGUAGCUAAGACCGGAUAAUAUUUUUAACCGCAUGGUUCAAAAGUAGAAUACUUUCUUGCUGUCAUUGAUAGAUGGAUCCUCGCUGCAUUGGCUAGUUGGUAAGGUAACGGCUUACCAAGGCACCGAUGCAUAGCCGACCGGAGAGGGGGAUCGGCCACACGGGACAUGAGAACCGGUCCACGCCCCUAAGGGAGGCAGCAGGAGGGAAUCUUCCGUAAUGGGCGAAAGCCUGACGGAGGAAGGCCGGGCGAGUGAUGAAGGUCUUCGGAUUGUAAAACUCUGUUAUUAGGGACGAACAUAUGUGUAAGUACCUGUGCACAUCUUGACGGUACCUAAUCAGAAAGCCACGGCUAACUACGUG